rnacentral:rRNA from 1 species
UACGUAGGGUGCAAGCGUUAAUCGGAAUUACUGGGCGUAAAGCGCACGUAGGCGGCUUUGUAAGUUAGAGGUGAAAUCCUGGAGCUCAACUCCAGAACUGCCUUUGAUACUGAAGAUCUUGAGUUCGGGAGAGGUGAGUGGAACUGCGAGUGUAGAGGUGAAAUUCGUAGAUAUUCGCAAGAACACCAGUGGCGAAGGCGGCUCACUGGCCCGAUACUGACGCUGAGGCACGAAAGCGUGGGGAGUA